rnacentral:rRNA from 1 species
UACGUAGGGGGCAAGCGUUGUCCGGAAUCAUUGGGCGUAAAGAGCGCGUAGGCGGUCCGGUAAGUCCGCUCUGAAAGCCCGGGGCUCAACCCCGGGAGGCGGGCGGAUACUGUCGGGCUAGAGUCCGGAAGAGGCGAGUGGAAUUCCUGGUGUAGCGGUGGAAAUGCGCAGAUAUCAGGAGGAACACCGAUGGCGAAGGCAGCUCGCUGGGACGGUACUGACGCUGAGGCGCGAAAGCGUGGGGAGCAAACAGGAUUAGAUACC